UCCCUUUCAUGCCGCCCCUUAGCUGUUUAUAUCCCAACUAGCUAAUGCUAGAUUGUAAGAUUGCAAAAGCAAGACUUUCUUCGAUUCUUUAUGUAGCUAUGUCUAUUUAUGUUAAACCUUAUGUAAUUGGUGUUAUAUGUCAAUUUUUCUGUGAACCUGAUAUAUGACACAGCAACAACUUUACCUGGGUUCUCAGCUCGAAUAGGAAAUUGUUUUUUUUUUUUCUUUAUUCCUUUCACCAUCAAACUCUCCACUUCUGAAUUGUGCUCUAGAUUAAACCAAAGAGUAAAGCUAAAGCCAUCAGACAUGUGUGGCCAGCAGUUUUGUCCAACCAAAGGCAAAUGAAUAGGAGAAAUGUGCCAUGAAGAGAUGAGACCACUCGAAUGGUCACCGACGGUAUCCUUAUUUUGUAAAAAUUUAGUUCUUCUUAAGAAUCCUGUCAUUUUACUAGUGGAAACACUAGGCUUCACCGAAACACUGCCCAGAAAAGGAAUUUGUUCCAGGGGAAAGGUGAUGUACUUCAGAGGUGCUAUGUGGUUAUUCUCUAUAAUUUUCAAAAUUCCUUUAAGUAAUAUAUC